CACGGGAGUUGCGAGCGUUGUCCGGAAUUACUAGGCGUAAAGGGCAGGCAGGCGGAUCCAUAAGUUUAUCGUUUAAGGCGUCGGCUUAACCGGCGUAGGGCGGUAGAUACUGUGGAUCUGGAAUGCGGUUGGGGAAGACAGAAUUCCUGGUGUAGCGGUGGAAUGCGCAGAGAUCAGGAGGAAUACCGAAGGCGAAGGCAGUCUUCCAAGCCGUUAUUGACGCUCAACUGUCGAAGGUGUGGGUAUCAAACAGGAUUAGAUACCCUGGUAGUCCCU
rnacentral:rRNA from 1 species